rnacentral:rRNA from 1 species
UACGUAGGUGGCAAGCGUUAUCCGGAUUUAUUGGGCGUAAAGGGAGCGUAGGCGGAUUUUUAAGUGAGAUGUGAAAUACUCGGGCUCAACUUGAGUGCUGCAUUUCAAACUGGAAGUCUAGAGUGCAGGAGAGGAGAAUGGAAUUCCUAGUGUAGCGGUGAAAUGCGUAGAGAUUAGGAAGAACACCAGUGGCGAAGGCGAUUCUCUGGACUGUAACUGACGCUGAGGCUCGAAAGCGUGGGGAGCAAAUAGG